rnacentral:rRNA from 2 species
AACGAACGCUGGCGGCAGGCUUAACACAUGCAAGUCGAACGCUCGUAGCAAUACGGGAGUGGCGGACGGGUGAGUAACGCGUGGGAACGUGCCCUGAGGUACGGAAUAACUGAGGGAAACUUCAGCUAAUACCGUAUGAGCCCCGAGAGGGGGAAAGAUUUAUCGCCUUGGGAGCGGCCCGCGUCGGAUUAGCUAGUUGGUGGGGUAACGGCCUACCAAGGCUUCGAUCCGUAGCUGGUCUGAGAGGACGAUCAGCCACACUGGGACUGAGACACGGCCCAGACUCCUACGGGAGGCAGCAGUGGGGAAUCUUGCGCAAUGGGGGCAACCCUGACGCAGCCAUGCCGCGUGAACGAUGAAGGCCUUAGGGUUGUAAAGUUCUUUUACCCGUGACGAUGAUGACGGUAACGGGGGAAUAAGCUCCGGCUAACUUCGUG